rnacentral:rRNA from 1 species
AUACGGAGGGUGCGAGCGUUAAUCGGAAUUACUGGGCGUAAAGAGUACGUAGGCGGUUUGGCCAGUCUGAUGUGAAAGCCCCGGGCUUAACCUGGGAACUGCAUUGGAUACUGUCAGACUUGAGUACAGGAGAGGAGAGUGGAAUUUCCAGUGUAGCGGUGAAAUGCGUAGAUAUUGGAAGGAACACCAGUGGCGAAGGCGGCUCUCUGGACUGAUACUGACGCUGAGGUACGAAAGCGUGGGGAGCAAACAGGAUUAGAAACCCUAGUAGUCC